UACGUAGGGUGCGAGCGUUGUCCGGAAUUAUUGGGCGUAAAGGGCUCGUAGGCGGUUUGUCGCGUCGGGAGUGAAAACACCGGGCUUAACUCGGUGCUGGCUUUCGAUACGGGCAGACUAGAGGUAUUCAGGGGAGGAACGGAAUUCCUGGUGUAGCGGUGAAUGACGCAGAUAUCAGGAGGAACACCAGUGGCGAAGGCGGCCAACUGGGCCAUUCCUGACGCUGGAGACGCGAAAGCCAGGGGAGCGAACCGG
rnacentral:rRNA from 1 species